GGCACAGCUGCCUCACCAUGGGCUGCAGGGGAAUCUUGGCUCCUGCACCUGGGGCACCUCCUGCCCUUCCUUCUCUACUGACCUUGGCUGUUCCUCUCGUUCUCUUCCUCAUAUUCUCACCAUAUUCUCUUCCUCAUGUUCUCUGAGUGCAAUUACAUCGGUGCCAUAACUUUUUUUUCCUUCCUAAAUACGUUAUCACAGAGGUGUUAGCACCAUCUCUGCUUGGCCCAGCCGUGGCCACUGGCACCCCUGUCCUGCAGCUGCCUGUGUCCUGGAGAAAGCUGGCAUUGGCUCUGUCAGACACAGGGAGAAACUUCUGGCAGCAUCUCUCAGAAGCCAACCCUCUAAGUCCCGCCAGCUACCAAAACCUGGCCACACAAAACCAGUACACACUGGGACAGUCACAGCCAUGACAUGUUAGGAGUGCAGUGCAUUCUCAUGGACUGCUACCUUGGAGCAGCACUAGUUCCUGUAAGUUACUGUGAACCUUAGGAUGAUGCAGCAUCUGUAAUUCUCCUCAGGUGGGUCAAAAUAUGCUGGAGAGGCAGGGAUUUAGGAGAAUGAUUUAUGCAAGAACUUCAGCUGCCUUCCUCCGUGGUGCCACAUUGAAGAGAUGUGGGCACAAGGGAACGGUAUGAACAGAACAUUUCUACACAUUGCUUUCAGUCAACAUUUUGGCAGCAGCUUGGUGUGAAGGAUCACCUUCUUAACAUUUGUAAUUUACAAGCCAUGCUAGUAACAGAUGUAGCUUCAUCUGUCACCAUCAAAAAAUUCAAAUAUCUCAUCUUGACAGUGUUGCUGAAACUUGAGAUUAAUCAACAAAGUUAAAAAAAAAAAGAGGGUCAAGGGGAAAAAACCUCAAGGGCCAAAACCUAGUACACUCCACCUUACUUCAGGAAACAGAUCAGUACUGCCUCUUUCUUCCUUAAUCUGAAAGUGAUUAUUGAUUGCAGGGUACAGUGAAAACGGAUAACUUCCUGAUAUUGAUAACUUCCUCUAACAAUGAACAAAAAUGUCUCUCUGGAUUUCCUUCAGAGCCAUGGCAAGGAACUGGGGUCUUUUCCAUAUCACAUGGCAAAGAAAAGCAGAUGAAAUCUUCUGACUGACAAACUGCAUACCAUUAUCACAUCCAAGUCACCUGGAAAUUCGCUUUUUGGCUGUGAAGACCAUCCCCUCAUCUUAACCUGCAGCUAGGCAGGGCAUAGUCAACAUGCAACAAAUCCACCCAUAUAACUAACAGAAAGCCUUAAAGAGG